GGUUUAUUAGGCCUGAACCUCUGCUGCUGAACAAAAGCACCAGGCAGAAUCCACCUAGAAGUGCCAUGGUAACGGGCUGAAGGGAUGCUGUCUGCAGUGCUGCAGGUGCUCUGCCUGCAGCUGCUCUAGGAGCCUGGGGUGAUGCUCUGUUGUGUGCUGUGGGAGCCCACUUGGUCCUGAGGCUUUGCAAAUCAUGUUCAAG